UCGCGCGCCGAGGAGCGGCCGCGGAAAUGGGCGGGCGAUUCGUCAGGUCUAUGAAAGGGGCCACCGCCCUUGGAGCGGGGGAGAGGGGCGUCGGGAGGCUUACCUGGAAGAGUCCGGAGUGGAAGGAGGACAACUCCGCACACAGAUAUAUCAGCUUUAUCAGGAUGGAGACUCUAGGUUGCAGACACCACUACCUGGGAUCACUGCUAGCCUCCAUUGGCUCUACUAAAAAGAAAAAGAAAAAAAGAAUACAUUAAAAAAAAAAAAAGCAGCGUGGAAGAGUCUGGAAAUGCAGAGUCCAGAGGACUGGGCUGAGGAGAAGAACUAAGUAAAAAGGAGAGUGAAGAAGAAUGCAGCAGCAGCAGUGAUAUUCCGGGACUUCUGAGUCCAGGCCUUAAGAAAACUGAAGCUUCACUUCCUGCCCUUGGAACCAGCAGCUCAGGCCACAAGGAGAAGCCACAGAGAAGAGAACUGAGGAGCUCCUGGCGAAAGCCCCCAUGAACCUCCCAGCCAACAGUCAACGCCAACUGCCAUCGCUGCGCAUGAGCCACCUUGGAGGUUCCAGCUGAUUUGCGCCCUAGACCACUGCGGCCUUAGCUGUCACCACAGCGAGCAGAACACAGGCUGAGCUCAGUCAACCACAGAAAUGUGAAAGGUAAUAAAAUGGCUGUUGUUUGCAGCCCCUGGGUUUCGGGAUGAUGUGUCUGCAACUCCUGGCACCUAACUGGCUCUUGAGAAAUAUCUGGAGAAUACAUGGAUGACUUUUGUUGGGUCUCAGCUUCCUGUUUGAGAAAAUGGCAGGGGUUGUUAGACCACCCAUGCUUUACAUCCUCCGAGUCCCCAUCUGUCCGCCAUGUCAGCUGCUUACCCGGCCGCCUGCCACAGGGUCACGCUUUAUUCUUGCAGGAAGAUUCUGCUGUCUGUGGCGUCUCUGCUCCCACCCUGUGCCAGUUCCCCCUCCUUGCUGUCUGAGGCAUGCACACACUCGGGCACCUGCUUCCUCGCAAAGCUCUCCUGGGGUUUCCAUCACGGGGCCGUGUCACUGGGCAGGGGGACAGUGGCACGGGCCCUCCGCCUUACGGGCCGCACCUGCUCGCUUCAGCCAGAGGAGACUGGAAACGUUCCCAACGCGUCCCUGGGUCACACAGGCAAAGAGUAGGACAGAUGCAGACCGUGUUUGCCACCUACCCUUCCUCAAGGCCAAGUCCUGUGAUCAUCUUUUGGUUAGAAAAUGGCCUCUGGCUCUGUAUCCAGGGCCAGGGAGAAGUGUCCCGAAGUGGAGACGAAGUCUCUGCUUCUGAGAAUGGUUGCUCGGCCUCUGGCUUAUUAGGGUUUCCUUGCUUGCCACAGAGGUGCCACGAUGACUUUUAUUGGCAGUGCCUGCAGGCACUUGGGGGGAGGGGGUAGAUCUCUGAUUCCCAUCGAAAAAAUAAUGAAAAGGCAACUGAGGGCUGGAGAAGUCAAGUAGCUAGCCCAAGGCCACAGAGCAAACCCAGCUCACUGGUGGAUUCAGACUCACCUCCCUUCUAUUUCUAGUCACCCACCUGACGCUCCUACACCCACCUGGCCUCUGAGCAGUCAUGGUGUGACCCACUUAACUCAUUAUUCACAAGCGCAGGUGGCCCUUCCUGACUAUAAGUCAUCCACAAAUCACCAUCAUCACCAUUUUAACUAGUAAGGCCUCUCUCAUUAAGCUGUAAAGUUACCCGUCCCAGACUCUAGAAAGCCACUCAGUUUCUGGAAGCUGGGAGGAACGAUGACAUUAUUCAUCUAUCCAGCCAGGAAGCACGGAUUGCACACCCAGUGGGUUCUGGGUGCUCUGUAAGGUGCUAGAGACACAGCAGUGCACAAAACCCAGGCCCUGCCCACAAGGAGCUUGCAGCAUUGUAGGAAAUGCCACAGCCCUCUCCUUUCAUACAAAUUAUGAUGGUACAUGAAUGUCACAGCUCACGGCAUAGUUUUCAUACAACACAGAGCAGAGGGGAAAACAGCGGCCCCCUCCUUACGCUCCAGACUU